GACGAACGCUGGCGGCGUGCUUAACACAUGCAAGUCGAACGGAAAGGCCCUGCUUUUGUGGGGUGCUCGAGUGGCGAACGGGUGAGUAACACGUGAGUAACCUGCCCUUGACUUUGGGAUAACUUCAGGAAACUGGGGCUAAUACCGGAUAGCAGCUCCUGCUGCAUGGUGGGGGUUGGAAAGUUUCGGCGGUUGGGGAUGGACUCGCGGCUUAUCAGCUUGCUGGUGGGGUAGUGGCUUACCAAGGCUUUGACGGGUAGCCGGCCUGAGAGGGUGACCGGCGACAUUGGGACUGAGAUACGGCCCAGACUCCUACGGGAGGCAGCAGUGGGGAAUAUUGCCCAGUGGGAGGACGCCUGAUGCAGCAACGGCGCGUGCGGGAUGACGGCCUUCGGGUUGUAAACCGCUUUCGCCUGUGACGAAGCGUGAGUGACGGUAAUGGGUAAAGAAGCACCGGCUAACUACGUG
rnacentral:rRNA from 1 species